GUUCUCACUCAUAUUCACAUGAGCCUGGAGAAUUUUAUCAAGUACGGACUACUCUUUGAUCCCAUAAAGAUCAUCUCAGUUUUCAUUAAAGACCCCUAUAAGUGGCCAGCAAUAUAUCUCAUUGCCGCUUCUGUUUUGCUUGCGCUUCCUGCA